UACGGGGGGGGCAAGCGUUGCUCGGAAUUACUGGGCGUAAAGCGUGCGCAGGCGGUUAUGUAAGACAGGUGUGAAAUCCCAGGGCUUAACCUUGGAACUGCAUUUGUGACUGCAUAGCUAGAGUACGGUAGAGGGGGAUGGAAUUCCGCGUGUAGCAGUGAAAUGCGUAGAUAUGCGGAGGAACACCGAUGGCGAAGGCAAUCCCCUGGACCUGUACUGACGCUCAUGCACGAAAGCGUGGGGAGCAAACAGG
rnacentral:rRNA from 1 species